rnacentral:rRNA from 1 species
UGGGGAAUAUUGCGCAAUGGGCGAAAGCCUGACGCAGCCACGCCGCGUGAGUGAUGAAGGCCUUCGGGUUGUAAAGCUCUGUCGGGAGGGACGAAAGGAGCAAUCCUUGACGGUACCUCGCAAGAAAGCACCGGCUAACUCUGUGCCAGCAGCCGCGGUAAUACAGAGGGUGCAAGCGUUGCUCGGAUUUACUGGGCGUAAAGCGUACGCAGACGGUGAGAAAGGUCGGAUGUGAAAGCCCCGGGCUCAACCCGGGAACUGCAUCCGAAACCAUCUCGCUAGAGUAUGAGAGAGGGAGGCAGGAAUUCCUGGUGUAGAGGUGAAGUUCGUAGAUAUCAGGAGGAAUACCUGCGGCGAAGGCGGCUUCCUGACUCAUUACUGACGUUCAGGUACGAAGCGUGGGUAGCAACAGGAUUAGAUACCUGGUAGUCCACGCUGUAAACGAUGUGUGCUGGAU